GUAAUUGUGCAAUAACAAUUGAAAUCUGCUCGACACAUCCACUGUAUAAGUUGCUUUAAUGUGCAAUUGUUUAUUCUGCAUUUGCAUUUCAUGUAGCAUUUAAAGGAACGUUUUCAUGAAAUUCACGUCUUUGGAAUACGUACAAGCAGUUAAAUAAUAUACGGAAUUUGUUGUGAUCAGAAUUAGAUAAUAUGACCACUUUCAAAGAAAUAAACGGCAAGUCAAUUUUACAUUAAUUCUGCAAGAGAAAAGGUGAAUAUGAAGAUGGUACAUUGAGAGGGGAAUCAAAAUUUUCAAAGAAAGGGGGGCCACUAUGGUCAAACAUUGAGAUAUAAAAGAAGACGAAAACAAUCUGCCAUCAGUCACCUUUUCUGGAUUAACCAUGAAGGUGUUUGUGUGUCUGCUGGUGGUAUCUAUCGCCGCAUUCGUCAAUGCUGGCAUUAGCGGAUGGUCAGGUGGGGGAGGAGGAGGAGGCGGAUGGGCCGGAGG